AGCGAACGCUGGCGGCAGGCCUAACACAUGCAAGUCGAACGAACUCUUCGGAGUUAGUGGCGGACGGGUGAGUAACACGUGGGAACGUGCCUUUUGGUUCGGAAUAACUCAGGGAAACUUGUGCUAAUACCGAAUGUGCCCUUCGGGGGAAAGAUUUAUCGCCAUUAGAGCGGCCCGCGUCUGAUUAGCUAGUUGGUGAGGUAACGGCUCGCCAAGGCGACGAUCAGUAGCUGGUCUGAGAGGAUGACCAGCCACACUGGGACUGAGACACGGCCCAGACUCCUACGGGAGGCAGCAGUGGGGAAUCUUGCGCAAUGGGCGAAAGCCUGACGCAGCCAUGCCGCGUGAAUGAUGAAGGUCUUAGGAUUGUAAAAUUCUUUCACCGGGGACGAUAAUGACGGUACCCGGAGAAGAAGCCCCGGCCAACUUCGUG
rnacentral:rRNA from 1 species